rfam:Mycobacterium sp. Root135 contig_4, whole genome shotgun sequence.
CCAAGCCCUUGCAAGGUGGCCUCUGCCCGAACCGGCCCUGACGUACUUCCCCAACGCCAGGUCCGCACUCUCGGGCAGGGACCUCCCUGCAAGGGCAGGCACAC